rnacentral:rRNA from 1 species
UACGUAGGGGGCUAGCGUUGUCCGGAAUCAUUGGGCGUAAAGCGCGUGUAGGCGGCUUUACAGGUCCGUUGUGAAAACUCGAGGCUCAACCUCGAGACGCCGGUGGAAACCGUAAAGCUAGAGUCCGGAAGAGGAGAGUGGAAUUCCUGGUGUAGCGGUGAAAUGCGCAGAUAUCAGGAAGAACACCCGUGGCGAAGGCGGCUCUCUGGGACGGUACUGACGCUGAGACGCGAAAGCGUGGGGAGCGAACAGG